CCGUGUGAAGAUGUGCCUGCUUCGCCUUCCAUCAUGACUGAAGUUUCCUGAGGCCUCCCCAGCUAUGCUCCCUAUACAGCCUGCAGAACGGUCGGCUGCCUCCAAUCCUGAGGUCAUCACUCAUCAAGAGGGGAUAAUCCCAGGGACAGCAGGAUCUGCUUCGUUACUUGGAUUUAGGAGCCAGAAACCCAUCAGGCAACUAAACAGUAACAAUGACCCGCCAUUAAACACACUGAGAGAAGAGCAUGAUGAAGAGUUUGUACAAGAAGAAGCCAGGAGCACUUGCUGACAAUGCUUACAGAGACGCAGGCUUCUAUGAGCUCUGCCUGUUGAACUGCAGUAAAAAUAGAUCUCCUUCCCCAGAGAGGCUUGGAUGUGGGCACAAUAUCAGUUCAGACGAUGGUCAAUGCAUGUACUUAAUAGAGUGAAAAGACUUUGGACUGUGAAGUCAGAUUACCUGGGUCUGAAUUGUUAUUCUUCUACUUCUUUGUAGUAUGCUUUCACCACAUUAAAAAUUGUCUGAGCCUCAA
rnacentral:lncRNA from 1 species